rnacentral:rRNA from 1 species
AUUGAACGCUGGCGGCAGGCCUAACACAUGCAAGUCGAACGAGUGGCGGACGGGUGAGUAAUGUCUGGGAAACUGCCCGAUGGAGGGGGAUAACUACUGGAAACGGUAGCUAAUACCGCAUACCAUCAGAUGUGCCCAUAUGGGAUUAGCUAGUUGGUGGGGUAACGGCUCACCUAGGCGACGAUCCCUAGCUGUUCUGAGAGGAUGACCAGCCACACUGGAACUGAGACACGGGCCAGACGCCUACGGGAGGCAGCAGUGGGGAAGAUUGCACAAUGGGCGCAAGCCUGAUGCAGCCAUGCCGCGUGUAUGAAGAAGGCCUUCGGGUUGUAAAGUACUUUCAGCGAGGAGGCGUUACUCGCAGAAGAAGCACCGGCUAACUCCGUGCCAGCAGCCGCGGUAAUAC